AAAUGAAUUGACGGGGACCCGCACAAGCGGUGGAGCAUGUGGUUUAAUUCGAAGCAACGCGAAGAACCUUACCAGGUCUUGACAUCCAACUGAACGAUUUAUGUAAUGUAGAUUUCCCUUCGGGGCAGUUGAGACAGGUGGUGCAUGGUUGUCGUCAGCUCGUGUCGUGAGAUGUUGGGUUAAGUCCCGCAACGAGCGCAACCCUUGUCUUAUGUAGCCAGCAGUUCGGCUGGGCACUCAUGAGAGACUGCCAGGGUGAACCUGGAGGAAGGUGGGGAUGACGUCAAAUCAUCAUGCCCCUUAUGACCUGGGCUACACACGUGCUACAAUGGCGUAAACAGAGGGAAGCGAAACCGCGAGGUCGAGCGAAUCCCAAAAAUAACGUCCCAGUUCGGACUGUGGUCUGCAACCCGACCACACGAAGCUGGAAUCGCUAGUAAUCGCAGAUCAGAAUGCUGCGGUGAAUACGUUCCCGGGUCUUGUACACACCGCCCGU
rnacentral:rRNA from 1 species